CCUCCUUGUUCUGCCACCCAUGGCUGUCAGGCACAAGCUGCGACAGAGAGAUGCGCCCCUUCCGCGUGUUGACUUUCCUCGUAGGACAGCAAGCGUGUGAGUCCAGCGGUUUCCGAGCCAUGCCACUGCUCCUGACCCACGCCUUUCGGCUACAUCUGUCACACUGUCCUGUGAAGGACCGCCACCUCUGUGGUUCACACUUGCUAGGCUCUCAGUGUUUCGGAGAACACGAAGGAGAGCGCUGGAGGAUUAACACCUCUAAUCGAGCCUGGAAACAGAGCCAUGCAUCUUGCUCGUACUUGACACUUGUACCGCUAAGCGGGAUCUGCCAACUAGGCUGAAGAAACAUAAUCGGCUUGAUGAAAUUGCAUGCCUGUGGCAGGCAAAUGACCUUCAUGAGCUAUGUAACUCAGCAGUAAACGACAGAAAAUACAGAUAUAAAUGUAUACUCGUGCUGGCUGUGUUAGAUGCCGAAAUGAAGUGAAAAGUGCUGUCACUCCAUUCUGCUCGUGUGGGACCGCAUUGUCUUUGGCGCCACGCUCGUCAAAGUUUUCCGAUGGCAAAUUUCCUUUUGUAAAUACCACUUGCCAGCCACAAUGUUCUUUCUCUGUCAACAGGAAAUAUUAUGAUCGCAAGAUGGCAAGUCCAAUUGUCAUCACUUGUGCACGGCAACAUCCAUUUUUAACCGACACGCAGCCAGAGCUGUCACCACUCAUAGUUUGCAUGGGGACAUCAUCUUCAAACUGAGGCUUGACAAGAGUCAUGUGGCUUUUGCGGCCAAAACCAUUCCAUGCCUGCUAUGCAGAGGCUCUUUCCUCUCUCUUGCCAGUUAAAUCGGGACACAAACACGACCGUCCACUUAUUGUCCCAGCAACAUGGAAACGUGCGACACGUUACUGAGUGACAUUGCUACGCACACGGAUCAAAGAAAUGCAAGCACGGCCGCUUCGUAUCACAAAACACAAGUGAGAGAAGCAACCUUCCCCAUGAGAAUUGCACAAUUUACAUUCUUAAAGAAAAUAAAUAAGCCAACUUUUGAAGAGUGAUGCCUUCUUAAGGUAACCAUAACAUUUCAUGAAGUAAUCUAUCUUACAACACUUCGGGGAUAUAUCUCUUCAUACUGUUCACUUUCUGGAUUUCCAACAGUAAUCUUUUUUUUCAACAGCCGUUGAAAAAAAACAAUCUUAUUUUUGUUUGCAGUGAGGCCAUCAGCGCACUGUGUGUACCUGACAGGAGACGGAUGACUCAGAGAUGAUCCCACAACACACUGGAAUGCUCUGAGUUACCUUAUCACAAGGAGGUGCGCUACGGGGCAAUAGGUUUGAGACUGUGACAGCAGGUGACAAAGCAAGUCAAAACUCGGCUCUUUUUCUUUUAGGGCAUGUGUACGCGGAGCUGCUCUAAUCCCAAACGUAAAAGCUCACAGAAGAGAAAGGCGGUGCACAUUUAAGGAUGGCCUUCAAUGAAGAGGGUACGAAUGCUGCACAAGUCCGAGCCUGAAAAGAGCUGUGGACUUUGGACCAUCCAUCACUGCUAUGACUCCUGGAGGAAAACUUCUCCUUCUCUGGAAGGUCAAAGCACCUCCGUCCCAACCCCUUUUCGCACCAGAACUGGCUUUCUGACAAGACGACAUCCCUUGCUGUGGUCUGGAUGAAGCUGCGAGACAACCCUGGCUGUCAUCAUGCUGCCAAUCAAGGGCUUGGCCCACCACCCCUCGACAUAGGGAAAUUUGGCCGCCUCUAAAAAUGUCCACGCGAGACACAUAAUCAAAUUGUGCACAUUACACCAAGACAUCGACGGCUGGCAGGACACGUCGGGUACAUGGGCCUGGCGGAUAUUCACGUGGAGUUGUGUUUUUUUGUCGCUCAACAUUCUGCAGAAUGGCCUUUGUUCUUGUGUACUGAAAAAAUCUAAUACAAAUGUUCUUUUCUAUAAAAAGGAAGGGUCGCACCCAGAGUGGUAUGGAGUGCGCACCUAGGAAUUCAACAUCAGACCUGGUGUGCCAUGGACCUGACAUAAAGCUACCAGCUGAAAGUCUUUUACAAUUUUUUUUAACUGUAUAGCUCUUUUUCAGAAACGAUCUGGCCACAAAUCACAGCCCAACAAAGUGGCUUUUCACGUGGACAUUUAUAGCAGCCAAAUACAAACGCAUGUUUAUAAAUAUAGAGGGAAAAACUGGAGGGCCCGUAGAAAAAUCCACACGACCACGGGGAUAACAUAGAGGCUUCAGGGUCGGGAUCCAACCCGCGACAUUCUGCAUACCAAGCGAGGUAGUUACUGUGGCAUGGUGCACUUCAUGUGGAUAAACUUGGCUGCGAGAGCGGUCCCACUUGUUGAAUUUAAACAGGUGUUGUUGAUACAACUCUCACCAUAUUUUCCAUUUGCAAAGCUAUGUAUGGGCAGGUAUGUAAUAUGUGAGCCCUCUUGUGUGUCAGUCCUAUAUUGUGGCAAUACGCAAAGAAAGGGUGCAAGACCUACAGUUAGUUUGUUUAUGAUAUGAUAUGGAGUAACACUUCAGAGGUAACUUUAAAAAAAUCCUGUAUUUGAAGCCGAAAUUUCGUCUGAAUUCCACACGUGCAUUGUGCAGGUGAACUCACAGAAAGGCAGGUCCAGACAUGUGAAAAAACAGUCGGAAAGAAACGUGCAAAAUUCCCAACAUAUACUUGGCAUGGGAUAAACAUUUUCAUCUGUAGCUGCUAAGAGAAAAGUGUUGCAUUUAUGAUUGAAUAAAACCUUCUGACUUAUAAAUAAGAAUACUGCAUUUAACUGAAAUGAAUGCUAGUAAUUGUUUAAGAAAAUGUUUUCCUUUGUACCAAAAGAGAGGCUUUUGAGUAUGAAAAGCAAGGGUUUGUUUAAAAAAAAUGUUUUACCAUUUCUCUAAAAAGCCUUUUGAACAAAAGUGUACACUUAUGAAAGCGCUGUUACAUAAACAUGACUGGAGUAUGAACAGGUAAGGCUCAAGACUUGGGCUGGAGAUAUACAUUUAAAAUGUUUGUGUUCGACAGAAUGUGCAAAGGACAUCAAUUUAAUGUUCUUCUUGCGAAUAAAUUAAGGUGCAUCAUCCCUUCCAAACUUCUGUCACGCCUCCGAUAAUCACAAACUCUCGUCUGAGUGGUAAGCAAAAGUCAAAUCAAAUGCAAAGUGCCAAGUGGUUAGCAACAAGCAGCACUAAGUAUAAUAGAUGACAGAUAAUACCAUGUCAAAACAUGCCAAAACAUGUGCAGCCCACCAUACAUUGAACAUACUGACGAAAAGCACACAUUGGUGUGGUUUUGCACAGUUGGUGAACAAGGGCGAGUGGGAUGGACAGCGGCUGGGCAGGCCUGCACCAGUGCGAGGGAGGAGCUCACCGGCUGUGGCUGGACACUUGCUGCACUUAUUGAAGCCCCAGGAGCUGCCCACACUACCGCAGCAGUCCUCCUGCUUGAGGAGGCCCGGCAGUGGUUUGCCGCACUGGAAUAAAGCACAACCAUCUCAGUGGGGGAGGAGGCCAUUGGCACAAUAACAAAGGGAAAAAAACUGGUGUUUCGAGGAAGUGUACAUUUUAUUUUCCACCUGUGCCCGUAUGUGGUUACAGUUGCCGAUUUCGCUGCUGCAAUCGUACAACAUACAAGAUGGCCUGAAUCUGCAUGCAGAUGCGCACAUUAAAAAUGCCCGAAAAAUAAGCAAACACAACAACGUACACACGUUGACACACAAACACACAGCAGAGCACACCUGCUGCCCUGGGUUGGUCUCCUGGAAGCAGCGGCCAAGCGGCUUGGGCUGAGGCCUGGGCUGGGACGCAGGCUGCUGUAUCGGGUAGGUGUACGUCUGCUGUUGCUGCUGCUGCUGCAAC